UACGUAGGGUGCAAGCGUUAAUCGGAAUUACUGGGCGUAAAGCGUGCGCAGGCGGUUGUGCAAGGCCGAUGUGAAAUCCCCGGGCUUAACCUGGGAAUGGCAUUGGUGACUGCACAGCUAGAGUGUGUCAGAGGGGGGUAGAAUUCCACGUGUAGCAGUGAAAUGCGUAGAGAUGUGGAGGAAUACCGAUGGCGAAGGCAGCCCCCUGGGAUAACACUGACGCUCAUGCACGAAAGCGUGGGGAGCAAACAGG
rnacentral:rRNA from 1 species